rnacentral:rRNA from 1 species
UUAAUUUGACUCAACACGGGGAAACUUACCAGGUCCAGACAUAGUAAGGAUUGACAGACUGAGAGCUCUUUCUUUCUCUUUUUUUUGAUCAAAUGUAAGAAUAUAUAUUAAGAUCA